rnacentral:rRNA from 1 species
AUGCAUACUCGAGGGCUCUUUCAUACGAGACGGCACGUACCCACGCAUGUCUCGUGUCUCACCCGUCGUCGUCGUCUUCUCCUCAUCAGAUUCACUACGACAUAUAUAUUAGCUACCUCCGCCAUCUCUCCACUCAGAGUCAGAAAUAAAGGCAGCACCGACCAAGCACAAGCUAGCUUCUUGCAUCUAUUCAUAAUGGACCGGAGCAACAUUGGAAGCCUUGGGUUGGUGGCGUUGGUGGCUGUGGUGUCGACCAGCAUCAUCCUUGUAUCCUACCACCUCCGCCGCCGCCUCCAGGAUGAUACCAAACUCAACAAGACCGCCGAGCAACAACGACAGAGCAAGAUGACAAUGAAGGAGGUGGGGUUCAUGGACGACGUUGCGGAGGAUCUCUCGUCGGACGAAGAGGAGUGCCCCCGUCGACUGGAAGAAACCUUGAGUACUACAGGGCAGUUCUUGCCAUGGCUCCGACCGUGCUAUCCCUGUCGGCGUGUGAUAUUGCAAAAUCAGAUGCAACUCGCAAGCUGGAUGAAGUAUCCGCAGAGGGUUCAGUUGGAUCUGAAAGUUCAGUAA